rnacentral:rRNA from 1 species
AGUGAACGCUGGCGGUAGGCCUAACACAUGCAAGUCGAACGGCAGCACAGUAAGAGCUUGCUCUUACGGGUGGCGAGUGGCGGACGGGUGAGGAAUACAUCGGAAUCUACUUUUUCGUGGGGAUAACGUAGGGAAACUUACGCUAAUACCGCAUACGACCUACGGGUGAAAGCAGGGGAUCUUCGGACCUUGCGCGAUUGAAUGAGCCGAUGUCGGAUUAGCUAGUUGGCGGGGUAAAGGCCCACCAAGGCGACGAGCCGUAGCUGGUCUGAGAGGAUGAUCAGCCACACUGGAACUGAGACACGGUCCAGACUCCUACGGGAGGCAGCAGUGGGGAAUAUUGGACGAUGGGCGCAAGCCUGAUCCAGCCAUACCGCGUGGGUGAAGAAGGCCUUCGGGUUGUAAAGCCCUUUUGUUGGGAAAGAAAAGCAGCAGGUUAAUACCCCGCUGUUCUGACGGUACCCAAAGAAUAAGCACCGGCUAACUUCGUG